CCCUUAGAUGUUCUGGGCUGCACGCGCGCUACACUGAUGCACUCAACGAGUUUCUGACCUUGUCCGAGAGGAUUGGGUAAUCUUUUUAAAAUGCAUCGUGAUGGGGAUAGAUUAUUGCAAUUAUUAAUCUUCAACGAGGAAUUCCUAGUAAGCGCGAGUCAUCAGCUCGUGCUGAUUACGUCCCUGCCCUUUGUACACACCGCCCGUCGCUCCUACCGAUUGGGUGAGCCGAUGAAACUCUCGGAUGUAGGCUAUUCAUAGCCCGCAGAAGAGAUUUGAAUCGUAGCGCUUAGAGGAAGGAGAAGUCGUAACA
rnacentral:rRNA from 1 species